rnacentral:rRNA from 1 species
CCUACGGGUGGCAGCAGUGAGGAAUAUUGGUCAAUGGGCGCGAGCCUGAACCAGCCAAGUCGCGUGAGGGAAGACGGCCCUACGGGUUGUAAACCUCUUCUGCCGGGGAGCAACGGGCGCCACGUGUGGCGCCACUGAGAGUACCCGUAGAAAAAGCAUCGGCUAACUCCGUGCCAGCAGCCGCGGUAAUACGGAGGAUGCGAGCGUUAUCCGGAUUUAUUGGGUUAAAAGGGUGCGUAGGCGGCCUGUUAAGUCAGCGGUAAAAGCCCGGGGCUAAACCCCGGCGAGCCGUUGAAACUGGCGGGCGGGAGUUGGAGAGAGGUACGCGGAAUGCGCGGUGUAGCGGUGAAAUGCUUAGAUAUCGCGCAGAACCCCGAUUGCGAAGGCAGCGUACCGGCUCCACACUGACGCUGAGGCACGAAAGCGUGGGUAUCGAACAGGAUUAGAUACCCCGGUAGUC